rnacentral:rRNA from 1 species
CCUGGUGGCCAUAGAGCGUCGGAACCACCCGAUCCCAUCCCGAACUCGGAAGUGAAACGGCGCCUCGCCAAUGAUAGUGGGAAUCCCCGCGAAAGUAGGUCACCGCCAGGC